AGGCUGUUAUCAGCCGAAGGGAAAGCUCAGGUAGACGCCGGGUGGCGAAGGCUAAGACGAGGAGAAAGGGAAGUGUAUUGAUAAAGGAGAUGGAGGUGCUGAGCAGGAGCCAGGAAGAUUCAAGUCUCAACGUCCAACAAGACAGAGUUCCCUGAAAGCAUUUGGGCACUGUCUGGACUGUGGCUAAGCCUCACGAGUCAGGGAUAGCAAAAUACGUGAGCAGCAUCAAAGAGAAACACCAAAGUAAACUGACUUACCAAGUUUGGAGAAAGAAGUUCUAACUGCCCUUUCUGCCCUGAUGGGCACUUUUCCCUGGAGCUUCUUGUUGUUACUGUGAUGUAAAUGAGGCAGCCCCAGAGGUGGGAGACAGACUGUUUCUGGUAGGCAAUGUCAGAGAUGCAUAUCACCACUCGCACCCACUUCAGUGCUGUGGUGGAAAAGUGGUCAUCUGAGUGAUACCCAAUCUGUAUCUAGCAACAGACAGGUACAAACAGCUAGUCAGAGGACUCCAAGUGUGACCUGGCAGACCAACCACAACACCCUGAGCCAUCUGCUGCAGCACUGUUCCUGCAGGCCAUGCACACACAAGCAGCCUUCGGACUCUAGCCUAGUUCAAGCUAACAGCUUGUGAUGCCCAGAAUGAGUAAAUACAGUUUAAAAGGCUGGUAAAGUUCAGUGCUAUCCUUGUCUCAGACAAUCUUACUGCAAUAUUCCCAUUACUACUGUCUCAACCACAUCCUUCACCAGCAGUGCAGGGUACUGCAGUGGUUUCUUUCACUGCACUAUACUUGUGUUGGCCAUUCUUUCAACCUUCACCAGCACCAAAGCCACAUCCUGUAACAUGAGCUGGAGAGAAGUGCUCAUGGCUGGCUGUUUUCAUUGUGUAAGGAAAAUAAGUGCAAUCUAGAAGUUUGUUCACAAUGGAGACAGAGGAGUCCUGUAAAACAUUAUGUGAAUAAAGGGAGAGUCCGUGGGACAGAUGCCUGUGGGGUCUCUCAAACUGCUGGAAGGCACAGCUUCCCUUUUAUCCUAAAUUCUCAGAUGCAGAUGUCCCUACCCCUUUCCCCAUUGGCUGAGGUACUCACGAUUUACAGUCUUCCUGAUAUGCGUACUACAUGCACCCCCUUUACAUGUAACCCUCCCUGCAUCAUAAAUUGUAUGUUCAAUUAAAUUAGGUUCUUCACUUCUCUGGGUGGAGGAGUUAAUAUUCAGUAGCCUGCGCUCUGUCCUGAAAUUCAGAAGUUUGGGCCAUGUUCAGUGUCAUCUUUGGAUGGUCCCCUAAUGAUUUACAGCAAGAUCCCAGACAAGGCCCUUAGCAGAGGUUCUUUGUGGUUUACAUGGAUAAGGUGAACCAUCCAGUUCUUUCUUUAUUACUUCAGAUAUCUUGCUGAGUCUUCAUUUGUAAAGACACCGCCCACUUAAUCCUACAAACUAUGCCUCUUCCUUGGUCCUCAUACAUUAACAGUGACAGCAUGUGGUUGCAGGAUCAUCAGAAACCCUGAGUUAACUUUGCAUUUCAGCUAUAGAGACCUCACUGCAAAAAAAUACACAGGCAGGUCAGCAUUCAUCUACUUCAUACUUUGAAGAUAAUAGGAUCUCAAGUUACUAGUUUAGAUCUGAUCUGAAUAUAUCUACAUGAGCAAUAGUGACAGCACUGAGAAAGUACCUUACAGGAGAUGUGGAAAAGGGACCAGGUACUUACCUUGGUCCUGAACAUCACCUUGAUCCAUUGUCUUUGCAAUAUAACUUCAGGUACCUUCAGGCAGCUGCCACCCUAAGUUAUCCCACCAGCACCCAAGUAAGUGGAACACAAGGGAAGACAAUGGAAAACAAUUAAAAGUGAUGAAAAUAAGUGUGUAAGUACCACGUGGUAGCAGCAGCAGGAAAGUAUUGAAAAGGUCACCACGUCAGUGAGGAGAAAGCCCAUCUCCCUGCUUAUUUGUGAGUGAUCACCUGACGAAUAUAAAAGUGCUGAGAAGCCAAACUUCAGCCAGCACCAACCACUAGGUAAAGGAUUGUUAUAACUGUUGUAUGUCCUUCAAGGGAGGUAGAGUCCUGUACUCCAGGCUGUCUGACUGUCGUGGAGGCAGAGAAUUAAUGUGGCCGAGCCAGGAAUUAUAAAAAUAGAAUUAUUUUAUUUUCCUGAAAACCCCUGCCCCCAAACUAUAUGCAGAACUAGUGUAGGUUUAUUUACAGGUUCUAAUUCAGUCAGGAAUUCUUCGUAGAAUCAUAGAAUCAACCUGGUUGGUAGAGACCUCCAAGACCAUCCAGUCCAACCUAUCAUCCAGCCCUAUCCAGUCAACCAGACCAUAGCACUAAGUGCCUCAUCCAAGCUUGUCUUGAACACCUCCAGGGAUGGCGACUCCACCACCUUCCUGAGCAGCCCAUUCCAAUGGCAAAUCACUCUCUCUGUGAAGAACUUCCUCCUAACAUCCAACCUAUACCUCUCUUGACACAACUUGAGACUGUGUCCCGUAUCCUUUCAAAGGAUGUUAUGGGCAAAUUGAGAGAUUUAGGAAGUCAGGAAAUCAAAUAGGCUGAGCUACAAACACAGCUUUACCCCACUAUCAAUCAGGCUGAGCAGAGAAUGAAGGGAUCAGCAGGCUUUACUCACAGAGGUGUGUGGAGAGAUUUUUGCUAACAGGACUUGAAAUAAUAAAUAUGAGCAACCCGUGC